CCUUCGCCCCGCCCCGUCCGCGCAGCUCGUCCGGCCCGCCCGCAGGCCAGCUUCUCUCGGGAGCCUCCACCCAGGCGCAUGGCUCCAUGAAGCAAGAGGAGGAGGCAGAGCGCGAGAGAUCCCGUCCGCCCCAGCCGCGUCUGGGCCAGGAGAAAAGCAAAACCAUAUUCCUGCUGCUGUCAGUUUUGAUGCACUGAGAAAACUUCAGAGACCUAAGCUUUUUCCAGAGAAGAGAAGCUUUACUGGUGUUCCAGCCCUAAGGCUCAUAUGACAUUAACAGACAAGACACUUUUCAGAAAGACAGAUGGAGUCUCUCUGUCACCCAGACUGGAAUGCAGUGGCAUGAUCUUGGUUCACUGAAACCUCUGCCUUUCUGGUUCAAGCAAUUCUCAUGUUUCAGCCUCCCAGGCAACGUGUUGGACCUUCCGGAGCUUCUCAGAAGACAGAGGGUUUUCUUUUGAGGCUGUUGUACAGUGGCCUGAUUAUAGCUCACUGUAGCCUCGAAAUUCUGGGCCGAAAUGAUCCGCCUGCCUCAGCCUCCAAAGUAGCUGAGACUACAGGUAUUGUUUGGGUUUUAAUACAGACAAAUCAACUCAAUCAAAGAAACCAACUCAAAGAAAGAUGGGUCUACAUACAACAAAACUGAACAAAAUCUGCAAGAAGAGUGAUUCAUACAUGGGCUAUUGAGGCAACAUGAGAUGGACAUUAAUCGACUAAGUAAAAAACAGAUUUCUUGAAGAAUUAAUAAAGAACUUUUGUUUUGGA
rnacentral:lncRNA from 1 species